GGCCCGGUGGCUAUUGGUUGACCGCUCGAACUUAAACUUCGAGGUCGUUGCGGGUUCGAGUCCCGCUCGGGCCA
rnacentral:tRNA from 2 species